GUGCUCGCUUCGGCAGCACAUAUACUAAAAUUGGAACAAUACAGAGAUUAGCAUGGCCCCGGAGCAAGGAUGACAUGAAAAUUUGUGAAGCGUUCCAUAUUAAA
ensembl:snRNA LOC120098750 U6 spliceosomal RNA